rnacentral:lncRNA from 1 species
CGCUACCAAGCUUGCCGCUGACAACCCCACUCCGAGAAGGGCGGAGGCUAUGCUGGACAUGCUUUUAGGCAGCUCGGAGUAGUAGAAUUCCGUCUGCCCAAUCAUGUUGAACGCCAUGGCCAAGCCGCUGAGCACAAGGUAAGGUAGUAGCCACAUGGCCGACAUUUGCACCACGGCUCGCGGGUCAUCUGAAAGUCCUUCAUCAAUUGCAAUACGGCGGCGAACCGUCUCUGUGAUUGCCCAUGCCGCCAUUGAUGCAGUAGAGAAAAGCAGUCCUAUCCCCAUCCUCUGCUUCAAGCUUAGUUGACACGGCUUCCCUUUGAUUUUUGAUGCUAGAGGGAGAAGGAUACGAUCAUAGAAACCGACCCAUAAUGUCAGAGUGAUAAUCGUAAAUAUGCAGAAGGAAGCAGCUGGGAUUUCAAAGUUGCGACUAACGUGUCGGUCCAUGGAGCUUGCCUGGAGUACUGGAAAUGAACUUUGGCUGAGGGUCACACCAAUCAUUAUUCCAGUAGACCAUAAAGGAAUUACCUUGAUCAAUGCUUUUAACUCCUCUACUUGAUCGACUGUACAAAGACUCCAUGGAUCCGAGGCUCUUCCAUCUGGAGUCAAGUCUUGUUCAGGAUGUUUGAUUAUACAAGCUUUGUUCAAACACCUAGACCGAAAAUAAAAUUUAAGAAAAUGCAAGUAAGAAUUCUAAUUUUCAGUAGCACCUGAAAGCAAUUGAUACCUUAAAUUUUCACUUGGCACGAGACGCACGGAUCCUUCUCUGUGAUGGUACCUUUCUUCUGCAGCCUGAGGUGAUGGUAACUUUAUAUGUCGAUUCUUAUACGAGGCAACAAGGACUUGAAUUAAUCCAGAAAGCAAGCUUGUGUUAGCUUUUGACUUGACAUAAAAGGGAGAAGCCAGAAAAAAACAAAGAGCUGAUAACAACAUUAUUGCGGCAGGAAUUCCAAACCCCACCUUCCAGCCCAAGUUAUCUUGAAUAUAAACAAUAAAAGUCACGGCAACCAUAGAUGACGCCGAGACAGAAACAUAAUACCAACUGAAGUAACUCUUUAAGGCACCUUCACUUUUACUUUUGAUGCCAUCUCCCUUUUCCAACUGAUCAGCACCAAAGGCUAAAGAGGAUGACCGUAUGCCACCACCUCCAAGCGACAUGAGACCAAAAGCCAAAUACAACAGCAUCAAUUGAGACCCUGUAGCGGAUUCACAACUAUCUCUUAGUGGGUAGUCACAAGCUAGAGGCCUUGCGUGGGGAAAGAUUGUCGUCAGCCACAACAGAACCAUCCCCUGUUAAUCAAUCAUUUAGUCCUUUCAUCUCUAUUUAAAUAGAAGGUUAAAUUUCUUAACAUGCACUAUGAUUAAUCAGGUCAAAUAUUUUAAAAAUAAUACCAAAUCCUUGAUACUGCAGGGCCUUUAGGAGUCUAGUGGUUACCAGCGGCAGAGUAAUUUAUAUUUUACAGCUUCCAUAAAAAAGAACUAUUGCGAAAUGUUAAUUAAGAUUAGCAACUAAAUAUAAUUUAAACUUGAUAGCUACUUGAUGCAAAAUAUAAAUUACAAUAAACAUAAAUUUUAUCACCUAUUGAGGAAAAGGACAUUUAGGUGGUCGAAGCAACAAAAAAGGCAAAAGGUCUAGUCCACGCAAUUUGAAAAAGUACCUAAAGCCUGAUUAAAUUCACAAGAAGCGCCACCAAAAUGAAAAUCGUAGAUGUGAACGUGGAAGUGAAAGAUUACCAAAAGGCAAGUGAUGCAACCGAAACCGAUCAUCGCAUACCGGCCCACAUACGAAUCGGCGAGAAAGGCCCCAAGAAUCGGCAGAAAAUUCGAAGCAGCUGACCAAAAGAAGAGUACGUUCGUACCUUCUGUUAUUUUCAUGUUAUAUUCUCUGCACAGAUACAGUAUCAUGUUUGGCAUAAACCCAGUACUCGCCAUCCUCUCAAAUGCUUCAUUUGCUGUCCACCAAAAAUAAAGCAAAUAAAAUAUAAUACACACAGUUUAUCAAAAGGGUAACAACAUCAACAUGCAUGCAUGUAGUAUACAUAUUAAAAGAAAAAGCACAAGAAUUUUUUUUUUUUUGGGGGGGGGGGGGGUAGAAUGAAUAACUUACCUAUGAUGAAAGGCAAGGUUCUGAUGCCACCCUUUGGGUUUUUGUUGAUCAAGAGUGGCUCUGUGAUCAUUUUCUUUUCUUCUGAACAUGUUUCCAUUUUGAUUCUUUGUUGCUGUUUGCUUGCUUAGUCUUCUGUUUCUUUGUGCUUACGGAGACUAAUCUAUUAUCUAUGUAAGGAGAUUUUACACGUAGUAGAUAUAGUGUAGUGGCACCCACCGAAAGUGAGAAAUGCUAACAUGCAUCUGCAGAGCACUGAUACGAUAGAAAGUGGAAGAACAUCAACGACGCUACCAAUUAACUAGAUAAUUUGUUUUCUUUUUCUUUCUUUUGAGAGGUACUAAUUUAAUUAAAUAAUUAAGAUGCUGCGUAUGGGGGAAAAAAUCUCAUAAUAACAACUGUUUAUGAAAGGAAUAGCCAAUAAUCUGUGAUUAGUUAAUGAAAGUGGGAUAUUGUGUUGAAUUCUUUAACCGUCCGAUGUGACUUCCACUUUAUGGGAAGUUGGAAGUUACAGCUAGUCAAAAGAAAGAAGUGGGAAAUUAAAUAAAUAAAUAAACAAGUGGAAUAACUUAGAAAAUGGCGGAAUAACACAUAGAUCCCUCUAUUUGUAUAUUGUUUCAUUCAAAAUAUACUUGGUUUAUUUGAGUAAAACAGGUUUGCGACACCUUCAGAAAUGAUAAUUACCCUUAUUUAGGGCCGAAUUUGAGCAGUACAUUAGUAAUGAAGUCAUGUCAUCACUUAACCUAAAGCAUAAUAUAGCCCUCAGUUAUUUUAUGGUGUAAAAUUUUGCAGCUCUCUCAUCUUUUUGUAUAAAAAUUAUUCGCAUAAAAUUGUAUAAAAAAUUUUUAACCUCAACAUAAAAAUAGUCUCUAAAAUUUUAAUAUUACAAACUAUUAUUCUAUUUAAUAUUAUAAAGAUGCCAAGUAAAUAUCUACAUAAGAUAAGCCUAAAUUACUAUAUAUAUAUGGGGAAGAAUGAGUAUAAAAAAUUAAUAAAUUAAAGGAAAAUCUUCGGAGAAAGGAGGAGUAUGAUAUGAUUUAUUUGAAGAACAUGUUCAUGAAUACCGGAAGAUGAGCGGACUAAGGUGUGGCUGCUCAUAUCUUGGCAAUUUUAAUUGGGAUUUAGGACUUGUUUGAUAUAAAAUGAUAAAAUAUGGUCGUUGUUUUAGAAAAUGAAAAGAGAACAAGGGAUACAGACGUUUUAUCUAUGCUCAACUAAACAGGAGUUGCUGGAGUCGCGACACCACAUCCUUUGAAUUUACUAAAAGUAAAACAGUAAAAAUUAAAAACAACCCAAAAUGCAACACGGCACGGAGGGUCAUUCUCGGAAAUGCGGGCCACCUUUACCUCGCUUUUCAAGUUCUUUUUCAUUGUUUCAAACUUUCGAGGUGCAGAGAGGGAGACACCACACGCUGAACUCGCGCACUUGGUUACACGUACCCGUGUCGGUAGUUUAGCUCCCUUUCCAGUUAGUGCUGUGGUUGCCCUUGGCACCGUGGGUCCCGGUCGGUGGCGUGAUGACGACGUGAACGAGAAGAAUCUACGCAUUAAAAAAUUGGUAAAGUAGAAUUUCAUUAAAUUUGUAAUCGAUAAAGGUGUUAAUUUGAUUGAAUAAUAAUUUUUAUUGUUCUCGAUUUUAGGCUUGAUAAGUUAAUAAAUAAAUUAAUUAAUUAAUUAAAAUUUUAAAAGAAUCUCAAUUUUUUAAUAAGCUCCAAUUAAUACAUAAAUUAAUAAUUAAUUAACUUAAAUCUAAAUACAUAUGAUUUGUUUAUAAAUUUUUUAUAAAAUAAAUUUUCAAUGUUGCUUUCUUCUUCUUGACAUUGGUUUUACUUGAACUUCAUCUCUAAUUUUUUAUAAUGCUAAAAGAAAUUUCGGUAUGCUGUUGCCGCCUUGUCAGGGGCGGAAGUGUUAAGUGCUGGCUAGUGGUGGGCAAAAUCGAGUUCGGGUUGGGUUCGGAUCAACCCGAUCGGAUUUCGGAUUAGUCGGGUUAAAUAAAAAUCCAUCCGAACUCCACCCGAACUUGUAACCCGACUCGAUCCGAUCCGAAUUAUGUUCGGAUCGGGUUACAAAAUCCAGCUUCCAAUUUCUAAUGCAUAUAUAUUAUAUACCAUCACUUAAUAAGUACAAAAGGUCGGCUCCCAAUUUCCAAAACUCAAAAGACUUUGAGACUUAAGUCAACAACCAAAAUCCAAAUAGAGCUUGAAUCGGGUGCAGCUUGCCGAGUGGAUCUUCAAUCGGACCGGGUGAUGAUGGAGUGGAGGAUUGAAGGCGUGGAUCCGGUGCUUGGUUGCAGCAGAUCGGUAGAUCGGGUCACGAUCUUCGUGAAUCAGCUUCGAUUUCAGUUGGCGUCGUUCUCGGUGGCAGUUGCUGCGUGUGGUGGUUGGAUUAAGCUAGCUCCAUGAACUUUGUGUGUGUGUUUGACUGUUUGACUGUUUGUGUUUCAUUUGUUUGGAUUUGGGUGUGGGUGUGGGCCGUGUGGCUGUUGCCUGUCGGCAGUGGGAUGCGAGCGACGGAGGCCGUGAAUGGGUGUGGUCGUGUACACUGCUGGUCGGCAGUGGGCUAGCUGCUUGUGCUUGAGUGCUGGUUUGUGUGUGUGCUAAGUGUUAAUGGCGGCAGACUUGGCUUUGUUUUUUGUGAGGGACCUGAGGGUUUGUGAAUUGUGACUUUGUGUGUGUGGUGUUUGUGAAGCCGUGUGCACUGGUGUGUGACUGUAAUUUUUGUCCCUUUUUAUUUAGUUCAUGACUCCGUCUGUGUGUAGUUCGGGUUUGGGUUUAAUUUUUUUUUUUUAUUUCUGUCUCAACUCGAUCGGAUUUUCAGAUCGUAUCGGGUUUCAUCCGAUCCGAUCGUGAUCCGAUCAGGUUGAGACAAAUUCACCCGAUCGGAUUUUCUUCACCACUCAAUCCGAUCCAAACCAAAAAUUUUUUAAAUCAGGUUGGAUAUUUUGCCUACCCCUACUGCUGGCAUCCCAAUAUAGAAAAAAAAAAAGAAAAAAAUAUCAAUUAGUUUGAUUAAAAUUACGAAAAUGUCAUUAAUUGUUAAUUACGAAAAUACCAUCAAUUGUUAAUUACAAAAUAUCAUCCAUCAUUAUUACUUUUCCUUUACUUCCACGGACACCAUUAGAAAAAAACAAAAAAAUUUCAAACCCUUCUAGAUUCUUCAUUCUUCAUCAAUUCACCGUCAUUGCUUCAAAAGCCACAAUUCAUCAUCCGUUCAUAUCUUCCAAUUUCUUUACAAUCUAUACAUUUUUCUAUUGGUAUGUUACUAUACUUUUAGAACUUGCAUAAAUUAUUCAAUUUAUUAUUUUACAUAUUAUUUUAAUUUAUUAUUUUGAAUGUUUAAUUGGCUUUUUUUUUGGUAAUUAGUUUUGUGAUUUAUUAGUUUGAGUUGAUUUAUUAUUGUUAUUUUUUCACUAAUAAUAUUUUUUUUAAAAUGGAAAAGAUGAACAAAAUUAAUUGUUUAAUUUAUUUUAAGCAUGCUAAUUAAACUUGUAAUUAUUAAUUAAUUUAUUAAUUCUUAUGUAGUUUCAUGUUAUAGUAAUUCAUAUGUUAUAAUGUCCGUUAAAUUCAAGUUAAGAAAAACUCUUCUUUCAUUCUUUGCCAAAAUAGAUGGUGGUCAAUCAUCAAAUGAAACAAGUUCUCCGUGCAAUAUUGAUGCCUCAAGUUCUCUUAAAUCUCAAAGAGCUGAAUUUGAGAAAGUUGACAUUCCAUCUACUAUUGACACCCCAUAUUUAGAACGUGAUCCCAGAUUACGCAUCUCAAUUAAAACUUAUCCUAUUGAUAAACGUUAAAAUGUGUGGAUGGCAUAUAUAAAUAUUGGAUCAUUCCAACUCGAACUACAAAAGUACCCAUCAACUAAACAUGGUAUACAAAAUCGUUGAUUUUAAUUUUCUUGGUUCUCAAAAUUUCCUUAUCUUGAGUAUUCCUUAUCAAAAGAUAAAACAUUUUGUUUUCCAUACUUUCUUUUUUAUGAUACAUCAACUAAGUAUGAUGCAUUCAUUGUUGAUGGUUGUCAAAAUUGGAAAUAUUUUUCUUGUGACAAAAAAAUGUUUUUUUGCACUGCAUGAAGGGAGUCAUGGUUCUUUUCACAAUGUUGCCAUGGAAAAAAGGAGUAAGGAUCCAUUUAAACAUAUUGAUAAAAGAAUAAAUGCACAAUCUUCACAACAAGUUUUAGAGAAUAGGUUGCAGCUAAAACCCUCAAUAGUAGCUACCAAGUGGUUAGCAAAACAAGCUUGUACUUUUAGAGGCUUUUAGAGGUCAUGAUGAGUCAAUUUAUUAUCUUAAUCGUGGAAAUCUUAUUGAAUUAAUCAAGUUAUUAGCAACAAUGAAUGAGAAAAUUAAUAAAGUUGUGUUAGAAAAUGCUCCUGAAAAUGCCCAAUACAUAUCACUUAAUGUUCAAAAAGAGUUAUUGAAAAUCUUGCUAAUAAAGUGUGAUACAAGAUUCGGAAGGAAAUUGCAGAUACUAUUGAUUCAAAAUCCAUAAUUGAUGAAUUCUAUUGUUUGAAGUCGCGAAAAGUACAAUUUUAGUUAUAUUUUUGUUUUCAAUUACAUUUUUAUUUUCUAUUUUUAUAUAAUUAUUUUGUUUAAAUUAAUUAUUAUUUGGUGUAAUAUUUCUGAUGUCCUCAUCUUAUUAUGUGUAUUUUAUUUUUUUUAUAAAAUUUUAUGAUCACUUUACAAUAUAACUUUUUUUUAAAUAUAUCCUAGGGUACUUUAAAAUCUUGAAUCUGCCUUGUGCCUUGCAACAAGAAAGUAUUUAAUGUCACUAUUAAUUAAAGUGUUUCUUUGGGUGAGAUGGUCUUGAUGGUGAAACUAUUACCUUAAACUUCUUCCUCUUUAAUCUUUAUUGUUUUUCAUUAUACUUUCAAUCAUUUGAUCGUCACUCAAGUGAAAAUCAUAUCACUAAGUUUGAAAGAAUCAUUACACUAAUUAUAUUACAUUUAUACAUCAUGAAAAUUAUAACCACAAAUUUUUGUACAAAUUUAUUUUGUACAAACUGAUGUGGCAUUAAAUCAUUGGUUAAAUUAAAUAUCUCUUGGCCACAUGAUUUAUUUAUAUUAUUUUAUAUUUUCAUUCAAUAAAUGAAUUAAUGCUAUAUCAGUUUGUACAAGAUAAGUUUGUAUAAAAAUUUGUGGCUGUAUCAUCACUCUAAAAAUUUAUGUUCUAAACAUAAUAUUAUCUUCAUAGAUUAAUAUUAUUAAUUAAUUAAUUAAUUAUUAUCUAUCAAUAUAUUAAUAUUCGUUAAAUCAAUAGAUUUUUUAAUUUAUCUGGAUGGUACUAUAUUAAAUUAUAAUACCACGACAUUAGUGUAUACAUUCAUAUAUUCCAUUACUGCAUGUUCUUAAUUAAAGGUGAAAGAACUUUCUGAAUUGAAGUGCGCAUAAUUUCUUUUGCCUUUUAUCACACUCACACACACAUAUAUAUAUGCACAGCACAUGCAUGAAUGUAGCACCAUAUCUCAUCUCCUUGUAAAACAUUUUUGGAUUACACCACCUUUUAUUUCCUAAUCUUUAUCUUUCUUUUUUUUUGUUUGACUUUUCCUUUUCAGUCGCAGUGGCCAGUGCCAUUUUGAUGGGCAAAUUUGAGUUCAAACUUCCAACACAUUGCAACGACACUAUUUUCAUGCUAUACAAUUGUUUGGCAUUAGAAUCUCUCCUUUUUCUUUUUUUUUGAAAUGGAAUUUCAUUAAAAACAUAAAAGCAUUACAAAUAGUUUAAUAAGCACAGAGGUGGAACACGACUCAACUCUGCAGGACCUGACAUAAAAUCUUAUGCUCUAGCAACAAAAUGGGCAACAGAGUUCACAGAUCGGUGCACAAACGAGAAAUGAACUUCUCCUAAAGACAUGGCUAGGGAUCAACACUCCUCAAUGAUAAGUCCAAAACUAUUAGGGUUGGAAAAAUUCUCAGUUAGAGCUUGAAAAACUUGAAGGUUGUCUAUUUCGAUAAUGACACUUGGCAACUGCAGUCUUUAGAAUCUCUCUUAUACAUAAAAGUAGAGCAGAUAUAUAUUCUUUUAUAUAUGAAUGAAAAUUUAAACUAUGUCAUAAUAGAAUUAAUUUAGAAGAUAAUCUCAAUAUAUUCUUAAUCAUAAAUGUGUAAAAAAAAUUAUAUUCUUUUAUAUACAUAAAUUUUAUUCAAUGUUACGUUCAAUUCAUUUUUUUAUAUUUUUAUAAUAGUUUAAUAAUAAAAUUUAUGAAAUAUAUAUGACUUUCAUAAUACUUUUAAAAAUAAAUUUACUAAAUAUUUAAUUAAUAAUCUGCACAAUGCAUUACCAACUAGCCUAAGACUUAAGAAGAGAAUCAGGCAUAAAGACAAUCAAGAUUGAUUCAUCAUUGGCGCUUGUUGAUCAAUAUGCAAGUUUAACUUAACAUAUAACAUAACAUAAUCUUUUAUUCAUAUAAUCAUCGAAUUUUCUUUUGAAUUACGUUGAAAAUCAACGAUGACAAUUUCUCUUAACUUAAGAAAUUCAGCAAAGGUUCCUUCCGAUGAGAGCAAGCUCCUUAUACAACGAUCUGUUAUUACUGUUGUUAUAAUUAUAAUCAUCAUAACCCAUAAGAAUGUGAUAGGCUUGCCGUCUUUUUGUAUUGGAAAGAACCUCCCAAGCUUCAUUAAUAAGCAAAUUUGCAGUCUCAGCAGCGACAGAAGAACAUUCAUCAGGACGAAACAACUGUGCCAAGCCCUCAUAACUCUGCCUGAUUUCGUCCUCUCCGGCUUUAUGAUCUUUGAUACCCAGAACCAAAUACCAGCUUUUGGUUUGCACUGCGACUUUGUGCACCAUGUAAGAGCUUAAGUAGUUAUCGAGGCCCUGAAGAUUAGGGUUCUUAAGCCGUGCUGUUUUAAUGGCGUAGAGUGCGGCAUCAAUGUUUUUGUUUAUGAAUAACUCCUCUGCCAUGUCUCUGCAGGCUUCAGCUUCCAUAUUUAUGAGCUUCGGGAAUAGAGCCUCUGCGGCUACUGGAUUGCACAACGGAGGAGGCAUUGUUGAAUUGAAAAACAGGGCCAGAAACAGAGAAUGUAAUGUUACUUCGUUGGGUAAGUGAUAAAAUAGGCUAGUUUUAUCAUGUAGAAUAAGGAUUCUUUUUUGGCCUUUUUUUCUCUUUCCUAGUAAAAUCAGUAAUCAAGAUUUAAUUUUAAAUGUUGAUAUUGACAAUCAACUAACUUUUUUUUCACUUUAUUUACAAUUAAACUAUUUUUUGUUAUUAAAUUUAAAAAGAUUAGAAAAGAAAACACUAUGAGAGAAUUUUUUUUUUUUUUUGAUAGGCACUAUGAGAAAAUUUUAAUCCUAUUACAAAUGUAGAGGCUUAAUCCGACAACGUUUUUGGUUGGUGGGUUUGCAAGGUUUUGUGUUACUCCUUAAUUGCCUAGGGGCGGGUAAAAUUCUUGGAUUCUUUUACCGAAUUAAAUAAGAAAGAGUGCGUAGAAAUUAAGAAACGAUCCACUAAUAAGAUUCUCAGAAUCGGAUUCGCCGAAGGGAUGGCAAUAUAUAUAAAGAUUCGAGGUUAAAGGAUAGUUGAUUAUUUGACCUUCAACAAUUUUCUCAAUUUACGGCAAAUUAGUGUAAAGAUUGUAAACUAUAAACUUUUUUCGGAUCCUUUACUUAAAUACAAAUUUAGAGUCAUGUUCACGCCCCACAUUAGCAUUUUCACUGGAUGCAACUUUCAAGCUCGACAAUGUAUAUGGGUUGAAGUUUGUGUACAUUAUGCUCGAUAAAAGCAGCGAGAGAAGUUCCAAUAAAAUAAUAGUAGAAGGAAAAAAAUACUUCGAAUUUUCAUGUUUGAAUUCCAAUUCAAAUGACAUUUUCGUUCAUUUAGAAUCUGAGUUCUUCUGCUUAUGAGAACAAAGAAUUUGAAUUAAACCCAUUAUAUUUAUUUAUUAUUUUUUCCCUUGCUUUGUGCUCAAAGAGAUAUAUUCACAAUUGACUAAAAUUGUUGACUCCACCAUUCAACAAUAGUAAAAUAAAAUACUAUUAUCAAACAAUAGAAAAACGAAGAUUAGUAAAAGGUAAGGGUAAUCAUUAAUUAAAUUGUUCCUGAAGGUUCAAACCAUUUGAAAACCUCAGGAAUAUUUGUUGCCCACAAUCGAAAUAUGGUCAGAUAACUUCAUGUAUCACUUGGGUGAGUUUUUAUUUAUGCUUGCGUCAUACACAUAUAAUCAUUUAAGAUAAAACAUAUGCCUUUUGUUGAAUUCUCAAUGUCAUGUUUGCCUAAAAAUAAGAUUGUAGAUUAAGGACCGUUUGGGAGAGUUUUAAGGAGAUUUAAAAGUAAUUUUAAAAGAUAAAAGUUAAUUUUAGUAUUCGAUAAUUUUUUUAAAAAAUUACUCUUGGUAAAAUCACCCCAUUCUCUACAACGAAUUUUCGAAAACAUGGAAAAAAUAAUUUUUAAAUUCGACUUUGAGAAUCAAUUUUAUACUUAAUACAAUUUCAUAUAUAUCCUUAUAUAAAUUAUACAAAUUCAAAAUUAUCUUUAUUAAUUAAAAAAUAAAAUUGUUAAAUUUAAAGGAAUUAUUAUUAUAAUUACCAAUUAUAUUGAGAUGGCAAAAUAACAAAUAAAAAAUAAAAUUAAUAAUAUAAAAUAUUUAUCUUAGUUAUCAAUUAUUAUAUACACAUAAUAAAAAAUAUUUUAUAUACAUAUUUGUAUGUUUAUAUAUGUUAAAUAAAAUUUAUGUUCAACUCAAUCAUUUACGUUUAUACAACAGUUUGUCACCGGAAUUCCCCGCAUCUUGACCGGAAUUCCUUCUCAUAACCAAAACCUUCUUCGUCUUAUGAGGGAAACUCGACGGCAAUGACGACGACGCCGACGACGCAGCAGGGCUCGAUGUGUUUCCCCUAAACCUUCCUACUAAUGUAGGCUUAGGCUUAGGCUUAUCAUCAUUAUUAUCUUCGGGAUCUUGAUUCUCCAAUUUGACAACAACGUUCAUUUCAGGAUCUUGAUUCUCGGCAUGAAUAUGAACAGUUUUAUCAAAACCCAUCAACAAAUCAUAAGCCUCCCUUCUUUUCGGAUCUGACAACACUUCCCACGCUUCGUUAAUUAACUUAUUAGCAGUAUCUGCCCUGACGGACGAACACCAAUCUAGUUUAAACAACUAAACUAGAGCCUCGUAACGUUUCUUGAUCAUGUCGACUCCGGCGCAGUGGUUUUGUUGGGAAAAUAUGCACUUUAAAAGCAUAUUUGUUUAUUUAAUUGUAAUAAACAAUUUUUCUUAUUAAUAAAAUAAAUUAGGUAUUUUAUUUAAGUAUGUUAAUUGCAUUAAUAUUUUGAGUAAAGUCCAUUUGAUCAUAUUAUAUGCAUUUAUGUGAUCACCAUGUGGAUUCACAGAAGACAUAAAUACAAGUUAUCUUAUUAUUAAAUAAAUUAGUUCGUAGUUGAUAAAUAAAGUUGGACACUUUAUUUAGGUAUAGACUGUAAUGAAUUUAUUGAAUGAUUUGUCUUGAUCAUGUAUGAAUUUAUUGAUGUAGUACGACUACAUUGAACAAUAUCACAUAUGAGAUUUAAUUAAUUUUGUAAUAACUGUCAGACUUAUUAAAUCUCAUAUGUAUUGAUUUUACUGUAAUCUUAAUCUUGAGUUAAUUAUGAUUACAUGAUUGUAAUUAUUAUUCCAUUUGAGUUACCAAUUGGCACGACACAUACUUGUAGUCAAGAUUACUCGAUAUCUUGGUGGAAACAAUUAUGAGUAUUGGAGUUAUAGAUUAACAAUAUAGAAUUUGUACAACACAUCUCUUGAUGGGUUUCCGGCACUUGAUCAUAGAAUUAUCUGACCAGAGUGUGUCAACAUAUUUAGUAUGUUGAAAAUAAUCAUUAGAGAAAACCAGUAAGUAUUAAGGAACAAGAUGUAAUUGAGAUAUCGAUUUAAUUAAUGAUGUGGUACUAAUGAUUGUGCAAUAAAGAAAUCAAUGUGACUUAAGACGAAUUAUUGUUCGAACAUACAGUUGUGAAGGUCAGUUCCAAUCUUAUAGUAGAGUAGAGUUGGAAUUAAAUAAUUAGGCUUAUUUAAUUACAGGCUUAAUUGUUGUAGCCAUUAUUGUAUGUUCCAAAAUGAUCCCUAGGUUAGCUCAUUUAAUUGGCUGCACCACUACAUGACUAAUAAGCGAGAUAACUAGUUAUUUAGGUCAAAAGCCUAAAUAUAUUAUUUAGUGAGAGGUUACAUUUAAUAUGCUUGUGUGUAAGGGGUCUUAUGUUAUUUAUAAGGUGGGCCUCCUAUAGAAAAAGCAAGUAACCUGACUUUUGAUUUUUAUUAUUUGGAGUCUAAGGUUUUCACUAAAGGGAGAUAUAAAAAAACUUAUUUUCUCUAAAUAAAAAAGAAAGAGGUCACAUUAUAGAUAUCAGAGAAAAAGAUUCUCUCUCUCUAAUUUCGAGAGAAAAAUUUUCUCUUGCUAGUUGCUUUUAAUGGUGAUAAAAGCGGUCACACGUCAAGUACAUAUCAAACCUGAGUCAUAACUUAGAAGAUUAUUUAGUCAUAACCUAUAAGAUUAUUUAGUGGUAGAUCGUGAUUUAACAAGAGUUGUGGUGACGAAUCGUGAUCUGAGAGUUUAAAUCACUUCAAUAGAAAAAACAAAGAUUGUUUAUCGUCUCAGAUUUUCAAGAUAUAAUUUCUAAAUUAUGAAUUCUUAUAUAUGGAAUGAAAUCGAUUCUAAAAAAAAAUUUAAUUAAAAAAACUGAUUUUACCCCAACAGGGCUCUGAUCCGGAGCACCGCGUACCAACUCUUCUUCGCCGCUAGCUUGUGCACCACGUAACAAGCGAAGUGGCUGUUCAGCCCAUGAUGGUUUGGGUUCUUCAUCCGCAGUCUGUCCACGACGCAGAGGGCGGAAUCGAUUUUUUCUUCUUUGAAUAAUUCUUUUGCCAUGUGUUUGCUGGCUUCCUCUUCCGUGUCUGCCAACUUGGAAAACAGAGCCUCCCUGGCUUCUGGAUUGUUAAAUGGGGAAGAAGACAGAGACGAAGACGACGACAUCUGUAACAGCCUCCAUCGGACGCGUGGUAGAUUUAUUUGAAGGCUGAAAAAAGAUAGGAGAUUUUUUUUUCUCUUUUCAGUAGCAAUCUCGUGUUUAUUAUUAUUAUUAUUAUUUAAUUAAUAGCAAUCAAGAUUAAAAAUCAAGUUAAUUUGAUGUUUAUGAAGAAAAGAAAAUGGGGAGGGGGAGCUGGAACGCAAAUAUACUUAUGAAACAUAUUCCUCAAUACUCCUUUACUGUAAUUUUCAAACUUAAAACUAAUAAAGGUUACAAGGGAAUCUCAUGAGAUAAAAGGUGGGUGCGGAAUCACUAACUAUUGCUUUCUCGCAUCUUAUAUUUUUUUGGGGGGCCACGGAACCCCCCCAUUACAUCAAAGUGCUGGUCCUAUUAAUGUGAGUUACCGACUUUGGAGUUUUGACACUGGACACUGCUCCUAUUACUAACUCUGUACGAAACUUACUACUAUAAUUUUAGACACUUGCAGAGAAAUUGUGAACUAACAUUCCUCCUGCACGCCAUCCGCGUUGUCUAACGCCUUAUGGACUUCCACUCUGCAUGGACCAUAAGCCUUGCAGCAAGCAAGAAAAUAUACAAAAUUAGCCAUGUUUAAAGCAGAGAGAAGCCAGAAGUAGUGAUCAUAAUGACCCUUGUUGAUAUUGCUUGGAAUCCACCCCUGCUUUCCUCUACUUCUUGUAAUACCAUCGACUGAAUUCAUUAUCAAGCUCGCUACCAAGCUUGCCGCUGACAACCCCACUCCGAGAUAGGCGGAGGCUAUGCUGGACAUGCUUUUAGGCAGCUCGGAGUAGUAGAAUUCCGUCUGCCCAAUCAUGUUGAACGCCAUGGCCAAGCCGCUGAGCACGAGGUAAGGUAGUAGCCACAUGGCCGACAUUUGCACCACGGCUCGCGGGUCAUCUGAAAGUCCUUCAUCAAUUGCAAUACGGCGGCGAACCGUCUCUGUGAUUGCCCAUGCCGCCAUUGAUGCAGUAGAGAAAAGCAGUCCU